GUGGGGGAUAUUGCACAAUGGGCGAAAGCCUGAUGCAGCGACGCCGCGUGGGUGAAGAAGUACCUCGGUACGUAAAGCCCUAUCAGCAGGGAAGAAAAUGACGGUACCUGACUAAGAAGCUCCGGCUAAAUACGUGCCAGCAGCCGCGGUAAUACGUAUGGAGCAAGCGUUAUCCGGAUUUACUGGGUGUAAAGGGAGCGUAGGCGGCAUACCAAGCCUGAUGUGAAAACCCGGGGCCCAACCCCGGGAGUGCAUUGGGAACUGGCAAGCUAGAGUGUCGGAGAGGCAGGCGGAAUUCCUAGUGUAGCGGUGAAAUGCGUAGAUAUUAGGAGGAACACCAGUGGCGAAGGCGGCCUGCUGGACGAUGACUGACGCUGAGGCUCGAAAGCGUGGGGAGCAAACAGG
rnacentral:rRNA from 1 species